rnacentral:hammerhead_ribozyme from 1 species
GUACUGAUAAAGAGUGCCAGACUAGGACGAAACAGCUGUCCAGUAC